rnacentral:rRNA from 1 species
GGACCUAGCGUAGUUCGGAAUUACUGGGCUUAAAGAGUUCGUAGGUGGUUGAAAAAGUUGGUGGUGAAAUCCCAGAGCUUAACUCUGGAACUGCCAUCAAAACUUUUCAGCUAGAGUUUGAUAGAGGAAAGUAGAAUUUCUAGUGUAGAGGUGAAAUUCGUAGAUAUUAGAAAGAAUUCCAAUUGCGAAGGCAGCUUUCUGGAUCAUUACUGACACUGAGGAACGAAAGCAUGGGUAGCGAAGAGGAUUAGAUACCCUCGUAGUCCAUGCCGUAAACGAUGUGUGUUAGACGUUGGAAAUUUAUUUUCAGUGUCGCAGCGAAAGCAAUAAACACACCGCCUGGGGAGUACGACCGCAAGGUUAAAACUCAAAUGAAUUGACGGGGACCCGCACAAGUAGUGGAGCAUGUGGUUUAAUUCGAAGAUACGCGCAGAACCUUACCAACACUUGACAUGUUCGUCGCGACUUUAAGAGAUUAAAGUUUUCGGUUCGGCCGGACGAAACACAGGUGCUGCAUGGCUGUCGUCAGCUCGUGUCGUGAGAUGUUGGGUUAAGUCCCGCAACGAGCGCAACCCUCACUUUUAGUUGCCAUCAUUUAGUUGGGCACUCUGAAAGAACUGCCAGUGAUAAGCUGGAGGAAGGUGGGGAUGACGUCAAGUCCUCAUGGCCCUUACGUGUUGGGCUACACACGUGCUACAAUGGUAUCUACAACAGGAAGCAAAACGGCGACGUUAAGCAAAUCCUUAAAAGAUACCUCAGUUCGGAUUGCACUCUGCAACUCGAGUGCAUGAAGCUGGAAUUACUAGUAAUCGUGGAUCAGCGUGCCACGGUGAAUGCGUUCCCGGGU